rnacentral:rRNA from 1 species
UACGAAGGGGGCUAGCGUUGUUCGGAGUUACUGGGCGUAAAGGGCGCGUAGGCGGCCCUCCAAGUCGGGCGUGAAAGCCCACGGCUCAACCGUGGAAUUGCGCUCGAGACUGAAGGGCUCGAGGACGGGAGAGGAUGGUGGAAUUCCCAGUGUAGAGGUGAAAUUCGUAGAUAUUCGGAAGAACACCAGUGGCGAAGGCGACUUACUGGACACAUACUGACGCUGAGGUGCGAAAGCGUGGGGAGCAAACAGG